rnacentral:rRNA from 1 species
UACGUAGGGUGCAAGCGUUGUCCGGAAUUAUUGGGCGUAAAGAGCUCGUAGGCGGUUUGUUGCGUCGGCUGUGAAAUCCCGAGGCUCAACCUCGGGUCUGCAGUCGAUACGAGCAAACUAGAGUGUUGCAGGGGAGACUGGAAUUCCUGGUGUAGCGGUGAAAUGCGCAGAUAUCGGGAGGAACACCAAUGGCGAAGGCAGCUCGCUGGGACGGUACUGACGCUGAGACGGCGAAAGCGUGGGAGCGAACAGG